AUUCACCUCUUCACUCUCUUCCUUCUCAAACACACUUUCACAUUCAAACCCAACAAAUCCGCCACUUAUCCAUUAUUUGUACUGCUACUACUACGUAGUCCAGUACUUAUAUUAUUCACUCACUCCUCGGAAUCUCUUCAGUUUCCCGCUACUCUUUCUCUCUCUAAAAAUCUAAAUCUUAAACCCUAAUUCACUGAAAACGGUCCGUUUCAUUCAAUUCUACUUCGCUUUAUCCUUCUCUCUCUGCAUUUAGUCUGAGGAUAUCUUUUGGCUGCAAGAUAAUGAUACAAGUUAAGGAGGAAUCUCAGACUCUGGACUUCAGUGGAUUUGCUUCUUGUUCAUCUUUCUCUGAUAGCAGUUACGAGGCUAGCACUCCGAGAUACUCCUCCGAACCUGGUUCUAGUUAUCGAAGGAGCUCUGGUCCAACUAAACGUUCUUCCCAGGCAGGCUGGACGGAAGAAGAGGAUAAUCUGUUGACUGAAGUGGUGAAAAGGUUCAAAGGGAGAAACUGGAAAAAGAUAGCUGAGUGCAUGAAUGGAAGGACUGAUGUGCAGUGCUUGCAUCGCUGGCAGAAGGUUCUGAAUCCUGAACUUGUAAAGGGUCCUUGGUCAAAGGAGGAGGAUGACCUGAUUGUUGAGUUAGUUGAGAAAUAUGGCUGUAAGAAGUGGUCUUUUAUUGCUAAGUCUAUGCCUGGUCGCAUUGGCAAGCAAUGUCGGGAAAGGUGGCACAACCAUCUUGACCCAACAAUAAAAAGAGAUGCUUGGACGGAACAGGAAGAAUCAGUCCUAUGCCACUAUCACCAAAUAUACGGGAACAAGUGGGCAGAAAUUGCGAGGUUUCUGCCUGGAAGGACUGAUAAUGCAAUUAAAAAUCAUUGGAAUUCCUCAGUAAAGAAAAGAUUGAACUUGAAUUUGCCUAGUAGGUUAGUGCUGGAUACAGAAAGUGAGGGAUCUCCUAAUUUCUCUAGUGACAAGAAAAAAAUAGAGAUCAAGAAGCAUCCGGUACAAGCUCAAAAUGCAGAACAAACAAUCUUUUUAGGCAAGCAGACAGGAUUGGAUAAUGCUGCUGUUGCUUUGUCAACUGAUCUGAGAAUUGGAUAUGCUUAUUCUGCUGGAAAUGCUAAGCAUAAGGAUACUUCUUUAUUUGGAGCCUGUAUAUCAGCAGAAGAAAAUGUGAGGGAUCUGAUAAAGCCACUUGGUGGAAUACAAUUUGGCAAGGCAGAUGUUCUUCCGAUUGGUGAGACAGAUAAACCAUGCCAAUCCAAUUUAAGUCGCACUAAAAUAUCAUAUCCACUCUCAGCCUCUUCUUCAGAUUUUCCUUUGGAUCAGUUGCACCACACAAGUUGGAGUACUUCUCAAGUUGAGGCUGUUCAUCCUACUACUUUUAGGAGCAUGUAUGAAUCUCCCAAAAGGUCUAGGCACGAUACUGUUAAUGAUCCUAACUGUGAUUUUUUGAGUUUGUCAUUGGCUAGCUUUACUGAGGUUCAUUCCCAAAGUACCAAGAAGAAUAAAGCAUAUGAUACACAAUCUUCUUUGGGUCUCAAGCAGCAGGGCUCCUUAUAUUAUGAACCACCACAGUUAAAGGACAUGAUGAUUCCUUUAACAGAUGAAAACCUUAGUAGAGACGACCUUAUCAGGCAACAAAAUGGUCAUCCAUUUUGCUCUACACCUCCUAGUCUUAAAUUAACAGUCUCUGCUAAUGGUAGCAGUCCAGAAUCUGUCUUAAGGAAUUCCGCAAUGAGUUACACAAGAACUCCUUCAAUCAUAAGAAAGAAGAAUUCCAGAUUUCCUGAAGCUGCAACGCAUUCUAGAUGCACAGGUACCACCAGUCCCACACAUAUUUUCCCAAGAGCAUCUGACAGGGAAGACACCUCAAACCUGAAGGACAGAUUUUCUGGAUGUAAAUCAUCAGCUUCGGGAAAAUCUCUUGGAAGACGGUUGGAAUAUGCCUUUGAUAUGGAAUGGGAUGCCUCUAGAUGUUGCACACCAGUUUCUGCAGCUUCACCUUGUGCACUUAGACUUGGUGGUAAUACCAUGCUGACACCAUAAAAAAGAUUAUACUGGUAUUAGUGGGCCUUUGACCAGGAACCAUUUUGAAUUUGGAUCUUGACAUGUCGGUGGUUUUUAACCGUAGUUAUUUUGCCAAGAAGUUGGUGGGCUUACGUGAAUUAGGUCGGGGCGGCUGGUGGUUUCGGGAUCCCGUAGAAAAUGCUUAAUCUUAUAAUUUUCUGAGGAUCAGUCUGGAGAGGCUUUUGUUGCAGCAUCACAAGCUGUCAAAUCAUACGAACUGAUGGAUCUUUCGGGUACUUCUUCGAGGCAUGUCAAUCUUUGAGGAAAUAAAAUGUCAAUGAAGCAAUGACCAAAUUGAAGCUGAAGAAUUAGUUUGAGAUGGAAGUUGUAAUUUUGGCAGUCAAAAGAACCUAGUGAGCUUAUGGUCUAAUGAGAAAAUAUGGCAAAAAGCUAUAAACUACGUGAGCAUGGAAAUUUGUUGGAUAACCCUUGUUUUGGGAGUUGCCCCUAUUUCUAUAUGGAUGUAAUAUUAUAAUUUGAUUUUUCCCUGCCGUACUUCAGAAAUUUAGCGAAAGGAAGGGUCUGUAAAUAUGCAUUUAAA